rnacentral:rRNA from 1 species
UACGGGAGGCAGCAGUGGGGAAUAUUGCACAAUGGGCGAAAGCCUGAUGCAGCUAUGCCGCGUGUAUGAAGAAGGCCUUAGGGUUGUAAAGUACUUUCAUCGGGGAGGAAAAACAAAACUAAUAAUUUUAUUUCUUGACGUUACCCGAAAAAGAAGCACCGGCUAACUCCGUGCCAGCAGCCGCGGUAAUACGGAGGGUGCAGCGUUAAUCAGAAUUACUGGGCGUAAAGAGCACGUAGGUGGUUUUUUUAAGUCAGAUGUGAAAUCCCUGGGCUUAACCUAGGAACUGCAUUUUGAAACUGAAAUACUAGAGUAUCGUAGAGGGAGGUAGAAUUCUAGGUGUAGCGGUGAAAUGCGUAGAUAUCUGGAGGAAUACCUGUGGCGAAAGCGGCCUCCUAAACGAAUACUGACACUGAGGUGCGAAAGCGUGGGGAGCAAACAGGGAUUAGAUACC